AGAAAGGAGCACCCAGGGCGCACACACUAAGAACCCCUUGCAUUGGGAGGAGCAAUUCCCUGGAAGGUCUUUCCAAAAAAGGCCAUUGAGUUAGUGCAGCCAGUCAGCACACCCAAGGCCAGGGAGACCACAAGCAGCUGACACACAGCCUACACCUCAGGAUGGCUCUGCUCCCUGGGAUGAUCAUUUUUGGAGCAACGCUCGCUGUAUAUGUUGUUAUCAGGGUCUUAGCGAACAGAAAUGCUUCCAGUCAGGAGGAAAUGAAUGACAGAAAUGACCAUUGAAGAUACCAGUCCGACUCCUAGCCCCCUAGAUACGAAAACUGAGAUCAAAUAUGCAGAUCAGCAAAAAGAGGACCUGCCUCUUCUCUGCCUCCAUAACCUGAUUCCUUUCUUUCCUGACAAGCUGAGGGCAAGGUCUCCCCCAGCUCACACCCUGCACUGCACCCUUGAAUUCAACCCAAUGAGUCACACUUUUCUUCUGUUAAAGGGAGAGGGAUUUCACAUUAAUUUUAGCACCAAGGUCUUCCUUAAGGAGUGUGUUCCUAUAUGCUUAUGGGGGGACAUCUUUGUGCAGGCUUUGUGCACACAUGUGUCUGUAAUUCUCUGCCUUGGGCUUGUGGGUAAGGUGGAAAAUAUCUAGGCACCCAUCUUCUUUCAAUCAUUCAUUAAUAAAUAUGGAUUAAGUA